AACGAACGCUGGCGGCAGGCUUAACACAUGCAAGUCGAACGCACCUUUCGGGGUGAGUGGCAGACGGGUGAGUAACGCGUGGGAAUCUACCCUUCUCUACGGGAUAGCUCCGGGAAACUGGAAUUAAUACCGUAUACGUCCUGAGGGAGAAAGAUUUAUCGGGGAAGGAUGAGCCCGCGUUGGAUUAGCUAGUUGGUGGGGUAAAGGCCUACCAAGGCGACGAUCCAUAGCUGGUCUAAGAGGAUGAUCAGCCACAUUGGGACUGAGACACGGCCCAAACUCCUACGGGAAGCAGCAGUGGGGAAUAUUGGACAAUGGGCGCAAGCCUGGUCCAGCCAUGCCGCGUGAGUGAUGAAGGCCCUAGGGUUGUAAAGCUCUUUCAGUGGGGACGAUAAUGACGGUACCCACAGAAGAAGCCCCGGCUAACUUCGUG
rnacentral:rRNA from 1 species